rnacentral:rRNA from 1 species
GACGAACGCUGGCGGCGUGCCUAAUACAUGCAAGUCGAACGAGUGGCGGACGGGUGAGUAACACGUGGGAACCUACCCAUUAGAGGGGGAUAACACUUGGAAACAGGUGCUAAUACCGCAUACCAUCGGUUGUGCCCAGAGGGGAUUAGGUAGUGGGGGGGGUAACGGCUCACCUAGGCGACGAUCCCUAGCUGGUCUGAGAGGAUGACCAGCCAGACGGGAACCGAGACACGGUCCAGACUCCUACGGGAGGCAGCAGUGGGGAAUAUUGCACAAUGGGCGCAAUCCUGAUGCAGCCAUGCUGCGUGUAUGAAGAGGGCCUUCGGGUUGUAAAGUACUUUCAGCGAGUAGGCGUUACUCGCAGAAGAAGCACCGGCUAACUCCGUGCCAGCCGCCGCGGUAAUAC